rnacentral:rRNA from 1 species
UGGGGAAUAUUGGACAAUGGGCGAAAGCCUGACGCAGCGACGCCGCGUGUGGGAGGAAGCCUUUCGGGGUGUAAACCACUGUCAGAGGGGAAGAACUGCGCCGAUUCGAACAGGGUCGGCGAUUGACGGUACCCUCAAAGGAAGCUCCGGCUAACUCCGUGCCAGCAGCCGCGGUAAGACGGAGGGCGCAAGCGUUGUUCGGAAUUACUGGGCGUAAAGCGCGGGCAGGUGGUCCGUUAAGUCGUUUGUGAAAAUCCGGGGCUCAACCCCGUGAAAUGCAGACGAUACUGGCGGGCUAGAGAUCGGUAGAGGCUAGCGGAAUUCCUGGUGUAGCGGUGGAAUGCGUAGAUAUCAGGAAGAACACCCGUGGCGAAGGCGGCUAGCUGGGCCGAGUCUGACACUCAUCCGCGAAAGCGUGGGGAGCAA